AAUCAACGCUGGCGGCGUGCCUCAGACAUGCAAGUCGAACGAGAAAGUCCCCUUCGGGGGGUGAGUAAAGUGGCGCACGGGUGAGUAACACGUGGGUCAUCUACCCUUAGGUGAGGAAUACCGGCGAGAAAUCGCCGACAAUGCCGCAUACGCUUCGUAAGAAGCAAAGUCGUAAGACGCCUGAAGAUGAGCCUGCGCCCGAUUAGUUGGUUGGUGGGGUAAAAGCCUACCAAGACGUCGANCGGUAGCUGGUCUGAGAGGACGAUCAGCCACACUGGGAUUGAGAACGGCCCAGACUCCUACGGGGGGCAGCAGUGAGGAAUUUUCGUCAAUGGGGGCAACCCUGAACGAGCAACGCCGCGUGCAGGAAGAAGGUCUUCGGAUCGUAAACUGCUUUUCUGUGGGAAGAGAACGGACGGUACCACAGGAAGAA
rnacentral:rRNA from 1 species